AUGAACGCUAGCGACAGGCUUAACACAUGCAAGUCGAGGGGCAGCACAGGUAGCAAUACCGGGUGGCGACCGGCGCACGGGUGAGUAACGCGUAUGCAACUUGCCUAUCAGAGGGGGAUAACCCGGCGAAAGUCGGACUAAUACCGCAUGAAGCAGGGGCCCCGCAUGGGGAUAUUUGCUAAAGAUUCAUCGCUGAUAGAUAGGCAUGCGUUCCAUUAGGCAGUUGGCGGGGUAACGGCCCACCAAACCGACGAUGGAUAGGGGUUCUGAGAGGAAGGUCCCCCACAUUGGUACUGAGACACGGACCAAACUCCUACGGGAGGCAGCAGUGAGGAAUAUUGGUCAAUGGCCGAGAGGCUGAACCAGCCAAGUCGCGUGAGGGAUGAAGGUUCUAUGGAUCGUAAACCUCUUUUAUAAGGGAAUAAAGUGCGGGACGUGUCCCGUUUUGUAUGUACCUUAUGAAUAAGGAUCGGCUAACUCCGUGCCAGCAGCCGCGGUAAUACGGAGGAUCCGAGCGUUAUCCGGAUUUAUUGGGUUUAAAGGGUGCGUAGGCGGCCUUUUAAGUCAGCGGUGAAAGUCUGUGGCUCAACCAUAGAAUUGCCGUUGAAACUGGGGGGCUUGAGUAUGUUUGAGGCAGGCGGAAUGCGUGGUGUAGCGGUGAAAUGCAUAGAUAUCACGCAGAACCCCGAUUGCGAAGGCAGCCUGCCAAGCCAUUACUGACGCUGAUGCACGAAAGCGUGGGGAUCAAACAGGAUUAGAUACCCUGGUAGUCCACGCAGUAAACGAUGAUCACUAGCUGUUUGCGAUACACUGUAAGCGGCACAGCGAAAGCGUUAAGUGAUCCACCUGGGGAGUACGCCGGCAACGGUGAAACUCAAAGGAAUUGACGGGGGCCCGCACAAGCGGAGGAACAUGUGGUUUAAUUCGAUGAUACGCGAGGAACCUUACCCGGGUUUGAACGCAUUCGGACCGAGGUGGAAACACCUUUUCUAGCAAUAGCCGUUUGCGAGGUGCUGCAUGGUUGUCGUCAGCUCGUGCCGUGAGGUGUCGGCUUAAGUGCCAUAACGAGCGCAACCCUUGCCACUAGUUACUAACAGGUAAAGCUGAGGACUCUGGUGGGACUGCCAGCGUAAGCUGCGAGGAAGGCGGGGAUGACGUCAAAUCAGCACGGCCCUUACAUCCGGGGCGACACACGUGUUACAAUGGCGUGGACAAAGGGAAGCCACCUGGCGACAGGGAGCGAAUCCCCAAACCACGUCUCAGUUCGGAUCGGAGUCUGCAACCCGACUCCGUGAAGCUGGAUUCGCUAGUAAUCGCGCAUCAGCCAUGGCGCGGUGAAUACGUUCCCGGGCCUUGUACACACCGCCCGUCAAGGCAUGGAAGCCGGGGGCGCUUGAAGUGCGUUGCCGCAAGGCGCGCCCUAGAGCGAAACCGGUGACUGGGGCU
rnacentral:rRNA from 1 species